ensembl:lncRNA
UCUUUGCUCAGCCAAGACUUGAGUGUGGACGAUGCAGGUCCUGAAGGAUCCCCAGACACAACCGUGCCACCAUCGCAGUUACUUCAUGCCAGCCCAGUCCAGUCUCCUGUACCUCAGCAAUUUCCCUGCCCCGUAUCAUCCAUGAUCCAAGCCACGCAGACUGUAUCAGAGGCACAGAGCAUAGAUCAGUCACUCAAAAAUCCUCCAUUGACAUUACAAGCAACUAUGCCAUUACAAGUUCCAGCUUACACCGCACAGUUGUCCGCAUGUACAGUCACUCAAACCCAAGGAAGAUCACAAGUAGCACAUUAUGAGGAGAAUAUGUCACAUGUCUUGCAGCAGCCAAGCCCAGUCUCAAUACCACUACCUCCAUUCAGCCCUGUGCAACAAGCAGCGACUCAGCUUGCGACACCAUACACAGACCACAACGCAAUAACCUGUGUCAAAUACUGCCAUUUGAUCCAUCACAUCUUCAGAUGAUGUUGUAAUGGAUAUCACUGAUUACCUGAAAGUACUAUUAAAGAAAAGCUUGAAAGGAUUCACAUCGACCAUGCCUGAUUCUCUAACCGGAAUCAAUGUCCAUAUUUGUCCGCCAGUAGAACUGGAAAUUUAACAAGGUUGACAGAGGUGGUACCCUGCCACAAUUACUAUGACCUCAUUUAAACAAUAAUAUUUUAAUUUUAAAAUAUUCAGUCUAAAUAAUGUCAUAAUCAUAUUAAAAAAAUAUUACUGACAUUAUUUACACAAUAAUAUUUUAGUUUUUUUUUUAACACAAGUAAAUUUAGGCAUCACAACAUAUAAAUGUACAGUAUACAAAAUGGAAAUUCACUUUGUAAUUGGCCAAAGAUUACAUUCAACUGUAUUAUAUCAUAAAUGCUUUUAACGACUGACUUAAAAUGACCUUAAGAUGUUGGCAAAGACAACCUAAUGUAAAAUCAGGGCAAAUAAGCACACACAAUGGAAUGUACCAUAUAAGCCAAUAUAUAUCUAAUGUUAGUUUCUAAACAUUUGUAAUAUUUCCAUAUUUUAUUUAUCCAAAAUUAAGCAUCUCUAGUUU